rnacentral:misc_RNA from 1 species
ACACACACACACACGCACACAAAAACAAACAAAAAAGGACUAAAAGAAAAGGAAGGAAAGAGAGGGUAGACGAAAAGGAAAGAAAGAGAGGGUAGACAAUGUUACGCAAAUAUGUCAAUAAUCAUAAGCCACUCAACCUGAGAAAAGGCCACAUAUCAUCUUAAUCUUAUACAUCAAGCUUACUGAUGGGGAGUCAUCAUGGAAAGAUACCCAUAAAUUUUUGGCACGACUAUAGUAAAUAAAUCCUACUUAUGAUAUUUAUAUUUACCAUGAAAAGCUUAAAUGUUCAAAUUAAGCAGUGCAAGAACUGAAGAUUAUGCAGGCAACUGAUGGACCAAACAAUUGAAGCAAAAAAUAGAUGAAAAAACAAAAUUUUUACCUGAACUCUAUGAGAGUGAUAG